rnacentral:rRNA from 1 species
CCUGAAGGAACGCUGAAGACGACGACGUUGAUAGGCCGGGUGUGUAAGCGCAGCGAUGCGUUGAGCUAACCGGUACUAAUGAACCGUGAGGCUUAACCUUACAACGCCGAAG